rnacentral:rRNA from 1 species
CUUUCAACAACGGAUCUCUUGGUUCCAGCAUCGAUGAAGAACGCAGCGAAAUGCGAUAAGUAAUGUGAAUUGCAAAAUUCAGUGAAUCAUCGAAUCUUUGAACGCACAUUGCGCCCCCUGGUAUUCCGGGGGG